GUAUGGAGGAAUGGAUAUAUAGAGGGGUACAUGGAUGCGUGGAUACAUGGAAUGGCUUCUGGCCAGAGGACGCCUACGUUUCCCGAAGGAGAUGCCCUCAGGCUGGGCUUGAAGGAACAGAAGGGCUCCAAGCGGAGGGCACCGCCUGGGCAAAGGCACAGAGUGGGAAAGCUCUCCUGGGAGCAAAGGGCUGGAGCGUCCCUGGCCAGGGGGAGGUGUGACUUCCAGUGGCAGAGGCUGGGCGGGGUGAGGUGUCUAACACAGCGAUUCCACAUGUGUAUGCCUUAUGAAGUGAUCACCACAAUGAGUCUGGCAACCACCUUUCACCGUAUAAAGUUAUUAUGAUAUUGUUGACACUAUUCCCUAUGUUGUACAUUAUAUCCCUGUGACUGAUUUAUUUUAUAACUGGAA